ensembl:misc_RNA Metazoa_SRP Metazoan signal recognition particle RNA
GCUGGGCACGGUGGCGCAUGCCUGUAGUCCCAUCCACUCGGGAGGCCGAGACAGGAGAAUUGCUUGAACCCGGGAGGCGGAGCUUGCAGUGAGCCGAGAUCCGGCCACUGCACUCCAGCCUGGGUGACAGAGCGAGACUCUGUCUCAA